rnacentral:rRNA from 1 species
CCUACGGGGUGCAGCAGUGGGGAAUAUUGGACAAUGGGCGAAAGCCUGAUCCAGCCAUGCCGCGUGUGUGAAGAAGGCCUUCGGGUUGUAAAGCACUUUCAGUGGGGAAGAAAGCCUUGGGGCUAAUACCCUCGAGGAAGGACAUCACCCACAGAAGAAGCACCGGCUAACUCCGUGCCAGCAGCCGCGGUAAUACGGAGGGUGCGAGCGUUAAUCGGAUUUACUGGGCGUAAAGCGCGCGUAGGCGGUCUGAUAAGCCGGGUGUGAAAGCCCCGGGCUCAACCUGGGAACGGCAUCCGGAACUGUCAGGCUAGAGUGCAGGAGAGGAAGGUAGAAUUCCCGGUGUAGCGGUGAAAUGCGUAGAGAUCGGGAGGAAUACCAGUGGCGAAGGCGGCCUUCUGGACUGACACUGACGCUGAGGUGCGAAAGCGUGGGUAGCAAACAGGAUUAGAUACCCCUGUAGUC